rnacentral:tRNA from 1 species
UGCUCUGUAGCAUAGUUGGCUAAAGCGCUGGUCUAACAAAUUUUGAGUCGUGGGUUCGAAUCCCACCGGAACGC